rnacentral:tRNA from 1 species
GGAUCCUUAGCUCAGCUGGAUAGAGCAAUCGCCUUCUAAGCGAUCGGCCACAGGUUCGAAUCCUGUAGGAUCCG